CGGAGGAUCCAAGCGUUAUCCGGAAUCAUUGGGUUUAAAGGGUCCGUAGGCGGUUUAGUAAGUCAGUGGUGAAAGCCCAUCGCUCAACGGUGGAACGGCCAUUGAUACUGCUAGACUUGAAUUAUUAGGAAGUAACUAGAAUAUGUAGUGUAGCGGUGAAAUGCUUAGAGAUUACAUGGAAUACCAAUUGCGAAGGCAGGUUACUACUAAUGGAUUGACGCUGAUGGACGAAAGCGUGGGUAGCGAACAGGAUUAGAUACCCUGGUAGUCCACGCCGUAAACGAUGGAUACUAGCUGUUGGGGGCAACUUCAGUGGCUAAGCGAAAGUGAUAAGUAUCCCACCUGGGGAGUACGUUCGCAAGAAUG
rnacentral:rRNA from 1 species